UGCAGAGGUCUCAAGCGUUGUUCGGAUUCAUUGGGCGUAAAGGGUGCGUAGGCGGCGCGGUAAGUCGGGUGUGAAAUCUUGGAGCUUAACUCCGAAACUGCAUUCGAUACUGCCGUGCUUGAGGACUGGAGAGGAGACUGGAAUUUACGGUGUAGCGGUGAAAUGCGUAGAUAUCGUAAGGAAGACCAGUGGCGAAGGCGGGUCUCUGG
rnacentral:rRNA from 1 species